GUGGGGAAUUUUGGACAAUGGGCGCAAGCCUGAUCCAGCCAUUCCGCGUGCAGGAUGAAGGCCUUCGGGUUGUAAACUGCUUUUGUACGGAACGAAAAGCCUCUGGUUAAUACCCGGGGGUCAUGACGGUACCGUAAGAAUAAGCACCGGCUAACUACGUGCCAGCAGCCGCGGUAAUACGUAGGGUGCGAGCGUUAAUCGGAAUUACUGGGCGUAAAGCGUGCGCAGGCUGUGAUGUAAGACAGUUGUGAAAUCCCCGGGCUCAACCUGGGAACUGCAUCUGUGACUGCAUUGCUGGAGUGCGGCAGAGGGGGAUGGAAUUCCGCGUGUAGCAGUGAAAUGCGUAGAUAUGCGGAGGAACACCGAUGGCGAAGGCAAUCCCCUGGGCCUGCACUGACGCUCAUGCACGAAAGCGUGGGGAUCAAACAGGAUUAGAUACCCGAGUAGCC
rnacentral:rRNA from 1 species